GAAAUGCGAUACGUAGUGUGAAUUGCAGAAUCCAGUGAAUCAUCGAAUCUUUGAACGCACAUUGCGCCCUUGGGUAUUCCUGGGGGCAUGCCUGUUUGAGAACCUUGACGUACCUCACACCCCACCCUGGUGUUUUUGUUUUUUAGCUUCGGCGAAAUCAAUCCUCUCAGGUGUGGGAUCGUGGAUCUGGGUCCCUUCUUUUUCGCAAGGAAAAGAGACCUUAAAUGAAAUGUCGACCGCAUUCUUCAGCUUGGUAUUGGGGUUCGCGGUUUCGCGGCUCCUAAAAUCAGUGGCGGUGCCUAUCGGCUCUACGCGUAGUAAUACUCCUCGCGAUUGAGUCCGGUAGGUCUACUUGCCAGCAACCCCUAAUUUUUUUAAGGUUGACCUCGGAUCAGGUAGG
rnacentral:misc_RNA from 1 species